UACGUAGGGUGCGAGCGUUAAUCGGAAUUACUGGGCGUAAAGCGUGCGCAGGCGGUUUUGUAAGCCAGAUGUGAAAUCCCCGGGCUUAACCUGGGAAUGGCAUUUGGGACUGCAAGGCUUGAGUUUGGCAGAGGAGACUGGAAUUCCUGGUGUAGCAGUGAAAUGCGUAGAUAUCAGGAGGAAUACCGAUGGCGAAGGCAAUCCCCUGGGCCUGCACUGACGCUCAUGCACGAAAGCGUGGGGAGCAAACAGG
rnacentral:rRNA from 1 species